GACGAAGGGGGCUAGCGUUGUUCGGAAUUACUGGGCGUAAAGGGCUCGUAGGCGGCCAACUAAGUCGGAUGUGAAAUCCCCAGGCUUAACCUGGGAACUGCAUCCGAUACUGGAUGGCUUGAAUUCGGGAGAGGGAUGCAGAAUUCCAGGUGUAGCGGUGAAAUGCGUAGAUAUCUGGAGGAAUACCGGUGGCGAAGGCGGCAUCCUGGACCGAGAUUGACGCUGAUGAGCGAAAGCUAGGGGAGCAAACGGG
rnacentral:rRNA from 1 species